AAUUGUGUUCUGGAAAGUUGAAUGCACCAUUACUUAAGAAAGUGAAAGUAACAGAGAAUACAUAUAUUCCUGUGGAUUUAAAGGAUAGAGAGCUCAGCUUCUUUACCACAUCAGAGAUAUUUGGGUUCCGCAGGCUGGUCGAGAACAGAUGGAAAAGUUGAAGGAUUCAUCAAGUUGAGUCGAUAAUAUGGCCUGGUCACCACGACUGUGCUUGAUGGAUUGGGCUACUGGACAUGGACAAAAAUCUUCAGUGCUAAAGGAAUAUGUGUGGAGUUUAUAUAAAGUGUGUUUCGCUUAUUUUGGUUUUUUCUUUUACAAUAUAAUAAAGGAUAUCUUUCUUACAAUAUCAGUGUAGAAAUCUUUUUAUAUUAAUAAACUUGAGUGCAUGCCGAACGUCUAAAUGGAGAAUUUUUAAAAAUUUGAAAAAAAAAAAAACAACGCGUCAUGCACUGAAGUUAUCAAUGUAAAAAAAUUUCUACACUGAAAAUGUACAAAAAGAUUAAUCCAAUAUGAAUUGUAUUGUAUGUACUGUCUUAUGUCUUUUCAAAUU